UAGGGAAUUUUCGUCAAUGGGGGAACCGUGCAACGAGCAAUGCCGCGUGUGUGAAGAAGGUCUUCGGAUCGUAAAGCACUGUUGUAAGUGAAGAAUGCCACAUAGAGGAAAUGCUAUGUGGGUGACGGUAGCUUACCAGAAAGCCACGGCUAACUACGUGCCAGCAGCCGCGGUAAUACGUAGGUGGCAAGCGUUAUCCGGAAUCAUUGGGCGUAAAGGGUGCGUAGGUGGCACGAUAAGUCUGAAGUAAAAGGCAACAGCUCAACUGUUGUAUGCUUUGGAAACUGUCGAGCUAGAGUGCAGAAGAGGGCGAUGGAAUUCCAUGUGUAGCGGUAAAAUGCGUAGAUAUAUGGAGGAACACCAGUGGCGAAGGCGGUCGCCUGGUCUGUAACUGACACUGAUGUACGAAAGCGUGGGGGAGCAAAUAGGAUUAGAUACC
rnacentral:rRNA from 1 species